AUGAACGCUGGCGGCGCGCCUAACACAUGCAAGUCGAACGGCACCCCUCCUCGGAGGGAAGCGAGUGGCGAACGGCUGAGUAACACGUGGAGAACCUGCCCCCUCCCCCGGGAUAGCCGCCCGAAAGGACGGGUAAUACCGGAUACCCCGGGGUGCCGCAUGGCACCCCGGCUAAAGCCCCGACGGGAGGGGAUGGCUCCGCGGCCCAUCAGGUAGACGGCGGGGUGACGGCCCACCGUGCCGACAACGGGUAGCCGGGUUGAGAGACCGACCGGCCAGAUUGGGACUGAGACACGGCCCAGACUCCUACGGGAGGCAGCAGUGGGGAAUCUUGCGCAAUGGGGGGAACCCUGACGCAGCGACGCCGCGUGCGGGACGGAGGCCUUCGGGUCGUAAACCGCUUUCAGCAGGGAAGAGUCAAGACUGUACCUGCAGAAGAAGCCCCGGCUAACUACGU
rnacentral:rRNA from 1 species